rnacentral:rRNA from 1 species
UACGGAGGGGGCUAGCGUUGUUCGGAAUUACUGGGCGUAAAGGGCGCGUAGGCGGUCCGAUAAGUCCCGUGUGAAAUCCCUCGGCUCAACUGAGGAAUGGCACGGGAAACUGCCGGGCUUGAGUUCGGGAGAGGGAAGCGGAAUUCCGGGUGUAGCGGUGAAAUGCGUAGAUAUCCGGAGGAACACCGGUGGCGAAGGCGGCUUCCUGGACCGACACUGACGCUGAGGCGCGAAAGCUAGGGGAGCAAACGGG